rnacentral:rRNA from 1 species
GACGUAGGGUGCGAGCGUUGUCCGGAUUUAUUGGGCGUAAAGAGCUCGUAGGCGGCUCGUCGCGUCGACCGUGAAAACCCGCGGCUUAACUGCGGGCUUGCGGUUGAUACGGGCGGGCUAGAGUUCGGUAGGGGAGACUGGAAUUCUCGGUGUAGCGGUGAAAUGCGUAGAUAUCGAGAGGAACACCUGCGGCGAAGGCGGGUUGCUGGGCCGACACUGACGCUGAUGCGCGAAAGCCAGGGGAGCGAACGGG